GAAGGGGGCUAGCGUUACUCGGAAUUACUGGGCGUAAAGGGCGCGUAGGCGGCUCGGUCAGUCAGACGUGAAAUUCCUGGGCUUAACCUGGGGACUGCGCUUGAUACUGUCGAGCUUGAGGCCGAGAGAGGGUGGUGGAAUUCCCAGUGUAGAGGUGAAAUUCGUAGAUAUUGGGAAGAACACCGGUGGCGAAGGCAACCACCUGGCUCGGUACUGACGCUGAGGCGCGACAGCGUGGGGAGCAAACAGGAUUAGAUACCCUGGUAGUCCACGCCGUAAACGAUGUGUGCUGGAUGUUGGGGCUCCUAGAGUCUCAGUGUCGUAGCUAACGCGGUAAGCACACCGCCUGGGGAGUACGGCCGCAAGGUUG
rnacentral:rRNA from 1 species